rnacentral:rRNA from 1 species
CCUACGGGAGGCAGCAGUGGGGAAUCUUAGACAAUGGGNGCAAGCCUGAUCUAGCCAUGCCGCGUGAGUGAUGAAGGCCUUAGGGUCGUAAAGCUCUUUCGCCUGUGAUGAUAAUGACAGUAGCAGGUAAAGAAACCCCGGCUAACUCCGUGCCAGCAGCCGCGGUAAUACGGAGGGGGUUAGCGUUGUUCGGAAUUACUGGGCGUAAAGCGCACGUAGGCGGAUUGGAAAGUUGGGGGUGAAAUCCCGGGGCUCAACCCCGGAACUGCCUCCAAAACUAUCAGUCUAGAGUUCGAGAGAGGUGAGUGGAAUUCCAAGUGUAGAGGUGAAAUUCGUAGAUAUUUGGAGGAACACCAGUGGCGAAGGCGGCUCACUGGCUCGAUACUGACGCUGAGGUGCGAAAGUGUGGGGAGCAAACAGGAUUAGAUACCCUGGUAGUCCACACCGUAAACGAUGAAUGCCAGUCGUCGGGCAGUAUACUGUUCGGUGACACACCUAACGGAUUAAGCAUU